rnacentral:rRNA from 1 species
GAUGAACGCUGGCGGCGUGCCUAAUACAUGCAAGUCGAGCGAACAGACGAGGAGCUUGCUCCUCUGACGUUAGCGGCGGACGGGUGAGUAACACGUGGAUAACCUACCUAUAAGACUGGGAUAACUUCGGGAAACCGGAGCUAAUACCGGAUAAUAUAUUGAACCGCAUGGUUCAAUAGUGAAAGACGGUUUUGCUGUCACUUAUAGAUGGAUCCGCGCCGCAUUAGCUAGUUGGUAAGGUAACGGCUUACCAAGGCAACGAUGCGUAGCCGACCUGUGAGGGUGAUCGGCGACACUAGAACGGAGACGCGGUCCAGACUCCUACGGGAGGCAGCAGUAGGGAAUCUUCCGCAAUGGGCGAAAGCUUGACGGAGCAACGCCGCGUGAGUGAUGAAGGUCUUCGGAUCGUAAAACUCUGUUAUCAGGGAAGAACAAAUGUGUAAGUAACUAUGCACGGCUUGACGGUACCUAAUCAGAAAGCCACGGCUAACUACGUG